CAGGCCUAACACAUGCAAGUCGAACGCCCCGCAAGGGGAGUGGCAGACGGGUGAGUAACGCGUGGGAAUCUACCCAGAUCUUCGGAACAACUGAGGGAAACUUCAGCUAAUACCGGAUACGCCCUACGGGGGAAAGAUUUAUCGGAUUUGGAUGAGCCCGCGUAAGAUUAGCUAGUUGGUGGGGUAAUGGCCUACCAAGGCGACGAUCAGUAGCUGGUCUGAGAGGAUGAUCAGCCACAUUGGGACUGAGACACGGCCCAAACUCCUACGGGAGGCAGCAGUGGGGAAUAUUGGACAAUGGGCGCAAGCCUGAUCCAGCCAUGCCGCGUGAGUGAUGACGGCCCUAGGGUUGUAAAGCUCUUUUACCUGGGAAGAUAAUGACGGUACCAGGAGAAUAAGCCCCGGCUAACUUCGUGCCAGCAGCCGCGGUAAU
rnacentral:rRNA from 1 species